rnacentral:rRNA from 1 species
UUGAAAGGGAAACGAUUGAAGUCAGUCAUGCCGGCGGGAAUCAACUUAGGGGAAACUUUAAGUGCACUUCACGUUUGGCAGGUCAGCAUCGAUUUUGGAUGUCAUAAAAUGAUUGGGGGAAGGUAGCUCCUUCGGGAGUGUUAUAGCCCUUGGUAGAUGUGAUGUCUGGGAUCGAGGAUUGCAACGGAUACCCUUUGGGCUAGCCGCCUGAUCUCUAACUAGUGUUGGGUUACGGACAGCAUGCUGACCGUGAUUUAAUUAUUGGUUAAAAGGUUAGAGCGAGUGUAAAUUCGUUAAGGAUGUUGACGUA